UACGGAGGGGGCAAGCGUUGUUCGGAAUUACUGGGCGUAAAGGGCGCGCAGGCGGCUGCUCAAGUCAGGCGUGAAAAGGCCUGGGCUCAACCCCGGGAAUUGCGCUUGAGACUGGGCUGGCUUGAGUGCGGGAGAGGAUGGUGGAAUUCCCAGUGUAGAGGUGAAAUUCGUAGAUAUUGGGAAGAACACCGGUGGCGAAGGCGGCCAUCUGGACCGCAACUGACGCUGAGGCGCGAAAGCGUGGGGAGCAAACAGG
rnacentral:rRNA from 1 species